CGGUGAUCGAAGGGCUGAAGAUGCGGAGGAGGCCGAGUCGCUAGGCGCUUUCGGGGGCGCUGUGCCGGUGAGGCUUAGGCAAGGGGACGGGGAACCGUGGUUAGAUGCAGCAGCGGCGGCAGCAGCCCUCCCAGGUCCCACUUCUUUGGCGUUCCUGCUGCCUGUGACUCAAGACAAUUGACUUCCACCUGAACCCUCAGCUCCGAACGCCUUGCAUUAGAAGCUAGAGCUUUGGAGGUUCUGAGGACGGUCCCUGGGGAGCAAGUGGCUGUUGUCCAGCUCUAAUGAUGUCCUAGAGCAGAAGUGUUUCUUCUGAUGUCUCAUUUUAACAAGAGGAUGAUGUCUGUGUAUGUCUCUGUGUUUUAGAGAGGCUGGCAAAUGCUGCUAAGAGGAUCUGAGGUUCACAUAAAGAGGAUGAAAAUUCUGAAUUACUUUCAUUGCAAAUAAACCUUAACAAUUGUGAGAGUUAGAGAGCAUACUUUUCACAUAAGACUUUGGUAUGCUGCCUAAAGCUACUUACAUAAUUUGCUAUUCAGAGAAAUGCAUUUGUUUAUUGAGGACCCACCCGGACUUAAAUUGGAAAAAUGUAACAUUCAGAUUUUUAUUUUAUAUGUGAAAUAAAUGUGUGAUUGCUGUUCUUAAAAAUUUGAAAAAAAAAGGAUAACAAGAAUAUUAAUUUUGUGACCCAUAGUUCAUGAACUUUAAAAGUGUUUACAGCAUUUAAAGUUUAUUUAACAAUUUAAGUAUUUGAGCACUAUACUAAUUCAUAUGGUUACAUUUGAUCAACUCCUUCAUGAAGCCAUAGGCUUUAUAUCUCCUAGCUGCCUUUUACCUUCAGAACAAAUCUGGUUUAUACUUAGAUUGCUCCAAAAGUUAUGCAUUUUAAUUUUAUGUUGAAAAUGUCUUUCUUAGAUAAUCACGGUGCAUAUUUGCAGCUAAUACUUUAGUAUAUUUUAUAUUAUUGGUAAUGCUUUUGUUAGCCAUCCUGGUGCUGCCUUCUUAUAAGAGCUAUGUAUGAGAACCAACUAAUAUAUUUCUUUUUUUUUUUUUUCUUUUUCUUACCUAUUAACCCACUAAAAUUUCUAAUCUAAAAGCAAUAUUCAAGUUACAUUUUAUUACAGAAAUUGGAAAGCAAUUUGCCUGGGAAGCAAAAUGUUGAUAUGAUUCAGGUGAUUUUAACAUUAAAUCUAACUUGUAACAAAAACGGAUUAUAUAAAGAUAAAUAAAUUGAGACUAUUAUUUGCAUAGCAAAGAAAGUCAAACAUGACCCACACAUUUAUGCACAUAUAAUUAAUUUCAAUAAAAUGUUUAUAUUUAUUCAUUUUCAUCUCUGCUAUGUUUGCUUUUAGAGUUUUCUCUUUGAAAGAGUCUAAAGUUUUAAAAAUACCUGUGUAUGCAGGAAUCUUCACAUUUUAUUUUGUAAGAUCAAUAAUGCUGCUAAAUAAACUGGGGCUAAUGUG
rnacentral:lncRNA from 1 species